CCAGAGCGCCGCGGAGCACUCCCGUAAGGCGUCCUCCCGCAAACCGUUCCUGUAGCGCAAAGGGUUCCGCUCUGGUCGCAGGCUGAAGGUCGCCACGGAGCGUAACCUGAGAAUGCUCAACCUGAAAUGACUUCAACCCAAGACAGUUUGCUGCUUCGCUCAAAACCUCUGCCACAGUAUCCUUGUGAGAAGCUGGUGACAAGGGAUCCCUGUAGCUUGUGAGCUGUGGUGCUGGAGUGUGGCGUAAUCAACACUCAUUGCUCCAGUUGAGAAAUAUUGACGGCUUUCCCUCCACCUCUUAUGACGUCACACUGGGAAGCUGUUGUCGGAGCUGUUGCCAUGGGGACACUAGCAAUGCUACUGUGCUUGCUGGCAUCUGUCAUGCUCCUCUCGGUCUUUUGUGUGACUCAGGGAAUGCAUGCUGCUAGACAGCCCCCCACCCUCCCUUGCCCCGUAACACACAUCACUGGGCAGCUUGGCAGAAGGACAUCAGUGAUUCAGAAGGUCACUUGGAUUGUGCAGUUCCAAAGCUUGCACAGGAGAGGCCCAGGGAAAGAAUGUAAUACAUGGGGUGGGGUGGGCAUUGGGAAGAACAUAGAUGAACCUUGCUGGAUCAAACCAAAGUGCCAGCAUCCUGUUCUCACAGUAACAACCAGGUGUGCCAAUGGGAAGCCUGCAAGCAAGAACUGAGUGCAACAGUGCUCUCCCCACUUAGGAACAAAGGAAGGUGCCUUCCACCAGGUCAGACCUUGAUCAAUGUAGCUCAGUAUUGUCUAUACUGACUGGUGGCGGCAGCAGCAAGUCUCCAGGGCUUCAGGCAGGGGACAUGCAAUAGCCCAUCUAGUCCAGCAUCCUGUACGUUUAUUUUGUGUGUCCUGAUUCUUCCAAUGUUCAGCUUCAUUGGAUAAUGAUAAAGAACCACCAGAAGAGAGAACACCAGGGACCCUUAAGCUGCCCAUCAGCAGCUAGUAUCCGACAGCAGACUAAGAAGACACACACUUACCUUGGACCUUCCCCACUAUGUGUAUGUCUGUUUACACUGAAGUAUUUAUAAAUCUGCAUCUAAAUGCGAACGUCAGAACCUGCACUUUAUGUCAAACACUUCCUUUGGUGACAUUUAAGCUGCCAGCUGAGAUGCACUCA